AGAGUUUGAUCCUGGCUCAGAACGAACGCUGGCGGCAGGCCUAACACAUGCAAGUCGAGCGCUCUCUUCGGAGGGAGCGGCGGACGGGUGAGUAGCGCGUGGGAACGUGCCCUUCUCUAUGGAAUAGCCACUGGAAACGGUGAGUAAUACCAUAUACGCCCUUCGGGGGAAAGAUUUAUCGGAGAAGGAUCGGCCCGCGUUAGAUUAGGUAGUUGGUGGGGUAAUGGCCUACCAAGCCUACGAUCUAUAGCUGGUUUUAGAGGAUGAUCAGCCACACUGGGACUGAGACACGGCCCAGACUCCUACGGGAGGCAGCAGUGGGGAAUCUUAGACAAUGGGCGCAAGCCUGAUCUAGCCAUGCCGCGUGAGUGAUGAAGGCCUUAGGGUCGUAAAGCUCUUUCGCCAGAGAUGAUAAUGACAGUAUCUGGUAAAGAAACCCCGGCUAACUCCGUGCCAGCAGCCGCGGUAAUACGGAGGGGGUUAGCGUUGUUCGGAAUUACUGGGCGUAAAGCGCACGUAGGCGGAUUAGAAAGUUGGGGGUGAAAUCCCGGGGCUCAACCUCGGAACUGCCUCCAAAACUCCUAGUCUAGAGUUCGAGAGAGGUGAGUGGAAUUCCAAGUGUAGAGGUGAAAUUCGUAGAUAUUUGGAGGAACACCAGUGGCGAAGGCGGCUCACUGGCUCGAUACUGACGCUGAGGUGCGAAAGUGUGGGGAGCAAACAGGAUUAGAUACCCUGGUAGUCCACACCGUAAACGAUGAAUGCCAGUCGUCGGGUAGUAUACUGCUCGGUGACACACCUAACGGAUUAAGCAUUCCGCCUGGGGAGUACGGUCGCAAGAUUAAAACUCAAAGGAAUUGACGG
rnacentral:rRNA from 1 species